UUUGUGAAGUUUUUCGUUUUUAUUUUCUCUUUCUCUUUCUCUCUCUCUUUAUGUAUAUCUAUGUAUCUAGAGGAAGGUAAGAGAGAGGU
rnacentral:ribozyme from 1 species